rnacentral:rRNA from 1 species
GAUGAACGCUGGCGGCGUGCCUAAUACAUGCAAGUCGAACGAAGGAAGGACGGUUGAGUAAGACGGGGAUAACCUCCUAUAAGACUGCAAUAGCUUCGGAAAACCCUAGCUAAAGCUGAUAAUUAGAUAUGGAUCCUCGCUGCAUUAGCUAGUCGGUAAGGUAACGGCUUACCAAGGCAACGAUGCAUAGCCGACCUGAGAGGGUGAUCGGCCACACUGGAACUGAGACACGGUCCAGACUCCUACGGGAGGCAGCAGUAGGGAAUCUUCCGCAAUGGGCGAAAGCCUGACCGAGCAACGCCGCGUGAGUGAUGAAGGUCUUCGGAUCGUAAAACUCUGUUAUUAGGGAAGCGGUACCUAAUCAGAAAGCCACGGCUAACUACGUGCCAGCAGCCGCGGUAAUUC